CCACCCACGCCGGCGUCGGCGGGCGUAUUUCGCUCACAGUAGGUCGCCGCGACCCGUUGCUUUUGGGGACGUCGAAGGCCCGGACGGAUUGGUACCCUACCGGCUGGGGAUGCGGCUUCGGCUUCUCCUCUUGUCCGGUGGGCGAAACCGCCGGUGUCCUGGCUGCCCUGCGACGGUCGUAGAGACGAGCCCCUCCCAUUCGUGGGGGGCGGCUCUCGCGGCGUGCAAAAGGUCGGUGAUCCACCCGACCCGUCUUGAAACACGGACCAAGGAGUCUAACAUGUGUGCGAGUCAGUGGGCGCACUAAACCCAGAGGCGUAAUGAAAGUGACACGGGUUCGGCUGUCGCCUCGUGUGGCAGCCGGACUCAGGGCCGAUCCCUCACCGGUUGCCCUCGCCUCUCUCUCUUCCGCGUCUCGGUAAGCCGGGUGAGCUAUUUUCCCCGGCCGCUGCUGCGGGGCGCGGGGGGAGGCGGGGUGCGAUGGUGUCCGUAAAAAAAGAGCCUGCUGUUGCAGGGGGGCGCAGGCCCGGGACUUGCCAGGACGCCGCGAGACUGUCACUUUGCUGUGAGGCUCCAGGGCCGAUCGGCGGGUCAUGCGUGCAGUCGGCAAGUACCAUGAGCAGACAUGUUGGGACCCGAAAGAUGGUGAACUAUGCCUGGCCAGGAUGAAGCCAGAGGAAACUCUGGUGGAGGUCCGUAGCGAUUCUGACGUGCAAAUCGAUCGUCGGAGCUGGGUAUAGGGGCGAAAGACUAAUCGAACCAUCUAGUAGCUGGUUCCCUCCGAAGUUUCCCUCAGGAUAGCUGGAACU
rnacentral:rRNA from 1 species